GGAUGUGAGGGCCGUCUGGCUGCAGCAUCUGUCACCCCGUCAAUCCUGAGGGUUGAUUCAACUGAUCUGGCUUGGCUAGGCAGGAAUCCCUGUCCUCCCUCUCCCCUUCAGUUGCAUUCCUCCCAAAGCUGUGCACUGGGUCAAAGAGGACUACCUUUCCCAAUAGAAGAGGACAGUUUUUUGGUCAAGGGUAUAGGAAUAGCUGCGCUCCCCUGCUAGGACCUCCAAACAAGCUCUCAAGGUCCAUUUGUAGGAGAACAUAGGAGUCAAGCUUCCAAGACUCCAUAUACAUAAUCCAAAUGAGGUGUUGCAUGUGGCAGUCCGCCUCUCUUG
rnacentral:snRNA from 1 species